UAAUCCAAUGGGUCACUCCUGUUUACUAUGACCUUAAGGAAUGUGACCCUUGAUCU
ensembl:misc_RNA